UACGGGGGGGGGCAAGCGUUGUUCGGAAUUACUGGGCGUAAAGGGCUCGUAGGUGGCCAACUAAGUCAGACGUGAAAAUCCCUCGGCUUAACCGGGGAACUGCGUCUGAUACUGGAUGGCUUGAGUUCGGGAGAGGGAUGCGGAAUUCCAGGUGUAGCGGUGAAAUGCGUAGAUAUCUGGAGGAACACCGGUGGCGAAGGCGGCAUCCUGGACCGACACUGACGCUGAGGAGCGAAAGCCAGGGGAGCAAACGGG
rnacentral:rRNA from 1 species